ACUCUAAGGAGACGUGCCGGUGACAAACCGGAGGAAGGUGGGGAUGACGUCAAGUCAUCAUGGCCCUUACGGCCUGGGCUACACACGUGCUACAAUGGUCGGUACAAAGGGUUGCCAAGCCGCGAGGUGGAGCUAAUCCCAUAAAACCGAUCGUAGUCCGGAUCGCAGUCUGCAACUCGACUGCGUGAAGUCGGAAUCGCUAGUAAUCGUGAAUCAGAAUGUCACGGUGAAUACGUUCCCGGGCCUU
rnacentral:rRNA from 1 species